CUGCUUUAGUAAUUUCUUAAGAUAGUAUUCCAUAGUCCUCAGAUGACAGAGCUGUUAUAUAGCACGCGGCUUUGAAGCAAAGCACACUAAAACCUUGUAUGGGUUCAAUCAAGAUUCUUCCAUCAUAUGUCUUCACGGCCACAAAAUCGUCAUCUUCUGGCUAGCCUGGCAGGUUUCAUCUCCACAUUUUACCUUCUCACUUGACUUCACUUCUAUUUCAACCAAGUUAUACUAGUAGUAAAAAGUGAAGAGCUAAAAAAUGGCAUCGAGUAGAGCCACGGGAUGGGAAAAUAAAAAGCCAAUGGAUGUAAAUAAAAUUUACAGGUUUUAAUCAACUUAAGCUGCUUGGUCUUAUUUCCUUUUUUAAUGUUUGCCAAAAUAAACUGUCCAGACGUUGCUGAGACUGACAAAUGAAAACUACUCUGGAACCCUGAAGCUGCAAGGAGAGGUAAAGCAAAUAAGAUGCCCCAUUUUUUGGUGCAAAGCCAGCUUUUAUUGUGCUGGUUUUAGGUCAGUAUAGAGGUAGUUGAACAGAAACAGACCUUAGUGGUUGUACUUGCCAUUUACUAUUGUUACUGCUUAGUACUGGCAGAUUCUUGGCUUCUUUUACAACAAAAUAAUCCAAAAUUAACAAUAACAUGAACAAACAUGAGAUUUACAAGCAAAAAAAAAAAAGAGUCUGAGAAGUUGAGACAGAAGGUGAAGGACUCUUGGAUGAAGAUGAUUUGAGAUGUUCAGUGUUGCAAAGAUCUUGAAGGUGAGGGCAAUAGGUGGCUUCGUUCUAAAAUGCAGAUGAUGAAAUUCUGGGUUUUGAGUGGGUGUUUAAAGGCAGAAUUAGUAGGAGGAAAUUUAUAAAUGGAAUCAUUUUUUAUUGUUUAAGUGUGUUUAUUCUCAGAACAAGUCAAACUCCCUUAUUUAGUCUGAAAAUACAUACUUGUAUACUUUUCCAAAAUCAAAUUUAAGAUCUGGUCCACAGCCUUUUCAGUGUGCAAACCCAAAAACACAAUGUUGGCAUAAACGUAAAGCAA